AUGGGUUUUGGAUUAAUUGGAAUUUUCAUUCUAUCUAUUUUGCAAGGUGUCCAUUGUGAUAUUCAGCUCUUGGAGUCUGGGGGAGAUGUGAGACAGUCUGGAGGAUCCCUGAAACUCUCUUGCAAAGCUUCUGGUUUUGACUUCAGCAGCUAUUACAUGAGUUGGCUCCGCCAGGCUCCAGGGAAGGAGCCUGAGUGGAUCUCAUACAUUAGUAGUGAUGGAAGUGGCACAGGCUACGUAUCUUCUCUGAAACCCCGAUUCACCAUCUCCAGGGACAAUGGCAACAGCCUGCUGCACCUGCAGAUGAAGUCCCUGAAAGCUGAGGACACAGCCAUGUAUUACUGUGCAAGAGGCACAGUGAGGGAGAGGAGUGAGAGAGCAGAAAAAAACCUCUUUCUUUGGAGAGGCCUUGUGGAGAAUGACUCAGAGAGGGAAGUCAAGAAUAUCCAGUAUAAGGAGAUCAGUUAUAAUAACAGGUGA